UUCCGUAGGUGAACCUGCGGAAGGAUCAUUAUUGAAUAAACUUGGUUGGGUUGUGCUGGCUUUUCGGAGCAUGUGCACGCCUAGCGCCAUUUUUACCACCUGUGCACAUUUUGUAGAUUUGGAACAAUUCUCGGGUUUACUCGGUUUGAGGAAUGCUAUGCCAAAAGCUUAGCUUUCCUUGUGUUUCAAGUCUAUGUUUUUAUAUACCCCAUACGAAUGUAAUAGAAUGUCAUUAAUGGGCUUAUAGCCUUUAAAUUAAUACAACUUUCAACAACGGAUCUCUUGGCUCUCGCAUCGAUGAAGAACGCAGCGAAAUGCGAUAAGUAAUGUGAAUUGCAGAAUUCAGUGAAUCAUCGAAUCUUUGAACGCACCUUGCGCUCCUUGGUAUUCCGAGGAGCAUGCCUGUUUGAGUGUCAUUAAAUUCUCAACCUUUUCAGCUUUUACAAGUUGUAUUGGCUUGGAUGUGGAGGUUUUGCAGGCUUCUUAAGAAGUCAGCUCCUCUUAAAUACAUUAGCGGAACCUUUGUGGACCAGCUUUGGUGUGAUAAUUAUCUACGCCAUGGUUGUAAAGCAGCUUUAUAUGGGGUUCAGCUUCUAACAGUCCAUUUACUUGGACAAUUUCUGACAUCUUGACCUCAAAUCAGGUAG
rnacentral:rRNA from 1 species